CAGCCGCCACGGUAAUACGUAGGGCGCAAGCGUUGUCCGGAAUUAUUGGGCGUAAAGAGCUCGUAGGCGGUCUGUCGCGUCUGGUGUGAAAUCCCGAGGCUCAACCUCGGGCUUGCAUCGGGUACGGGCAGACUAGAGUGCGGUAGGGGAGACUGGAAUUCCUGGUGUAGCGGUGGAAUGCGCAGAUAUCAGGAGGAACACCGAUGGCGAAGGCAGGUCUCUGGGCCGCAACUGACGCUGAGGAGCGAAAGCAUGGGGAGCGAACAGGAUUAGAUACCCCAGUAGUCCCUGUCUCUUAUAC
rnacentral:rRNA from 1 species